rnacentral:rRNA from 1 species
GACGAAGGGGGCUAGCGUUGUUCGGAAUUACUGGGCGUAAAGCGCGUGUAGGCGGUUAUCCAAGUCGGAUGUGAAAGCCUUGAGCUCAACUCAAGAAAUGCAUUCGGUACUGGGUGACUAGAGGACCGGAGAGGAUAGUGGAAUUCCCAGUGUAGUGGUGAAAUACGUAGAGAUUGGGAAGAACAUCGGUGGCGAAAGCGCUCUACUGGACCUCAUCUGACACUCAGGGACGAAAGCUAGGGGAGCGAACAGG